UACGUAGGGUGCGAGCGUUAAUCGGAAUUACUGGGCGUAAAGGGUGCGCAGGCGGCCGUGUGUGUCAGGUGUGAAAGCCCGGAGCUUAACUCCGGAAUUGCGCCUGAAACUACAUGGCUAGAGCAUUGGAGAGGGUAGCGGAAUUCACGGUGUAGCAGUGAAAUGCGUAGAUAUCGUGAGGAACACCAGAGGCGAAGGCGGCUACCUGGACAAUUGCUGACGCUCAGGCACGAAAGCGUGGGGAGCAAAAGGG
rnacentral:rRNA from 1 species